rnacentral:rRNA from 1 species
UUGGGAAUCUUAGACAAUGGGGGAAACCCUGAUCUAGCCAUGCCGCGUGAGUGACGAAGGCCCUAGGGUCGUAAAGCUCUUUCGCCAGGGAAGAUAAUGACGGUACCUGGUAAAGAAACCCCGGCUAACUCCGUGCCAGCAGCCGCGGUAAUACGGAGGGGGCAAGCGUUGUUCGGAUUUACUGGGCGUAAAGGGCGCGUAGGCGGGCGAUCAAGUCAGGGGUGAAAGGCCUGGGCUCAACCUGGGACGUGCCUUUGAAACUGAUUGUCUUGAGUGCGGGAGAGGGUGACGGAAUUCCCAGUGUAGAGGUGAAAUUCGUAGAUAUUGGGAAGAACACCGGUGGCGAAGGCGGUCACCUGGCCCGCAACUGACGCUGAGGCGCGAAAGCGUGGGGAGCAAACAGGAUUAGAUACCCCCGUAGUCC